rnacentral:rRNA from 1 species
AAAAAAUCAGCCUUUUGCUUUUAUUGUUUUCUGUUUAAGCAACCAAGAGCUGAAAACUAUGGUAUUGAAGCAUUCACGAGAAAUGGAUUCAAAUCUUGGAAGGAUGGACCUAAAGUUUUUAAUCAACAUGUUGGCAAGCAUGAUAGUGCUCAUAACAAAUCUAGGCAACAUUAUGAGGAUUUCAAAAAUCAAAGACAAGAUCUGCCACAUGUCUUUGAUAGGGGUUCUCAGAAGCAAGAAGAAGAAUACAAAGCCCGUCUCUUGAUUAUAUUGGGUAUUGUCAAUUUUUUGAUACUACAAGCUCUUGCUUUUCGUGGUCAUGAUGAGCCUACUAGCUCAAUGAAUAAGGGUAACUUUAAAGAAUUGUUGGACUUGUUCAUAAAGAAAGACCCAAAGGUUAUCGCACACAUAAAGGUGUUUUGCCUCAUCCUACACGUAAGUUUUCACAUUUUGCAUCUAUCGUUAAUUAGUUUUGCCUGCUAUAUUAUGCACUGA